AUACGUAGGGGGCGAGCGUUGUCCGGAAUGAUUGGGCGUAAAGGGCGCGUAGGCGGCCCGUUAAGUCUGGAGUGAAAGUCCUGCUUUUAAGGUGGGAAUUGCUUUGGAUACUGAUGGGCUUGAGUGCAGGAGAGGUAAGUGGAAUUCCCAGUGUAGCGGUGAAAUGCGUAGAGAUUGGGAGGAACACCAGUGGCGAAGGCGACUUACUGGACUGUAACUGACGUUGAGGCGCGAAAUUGUGGGGAGCAAACAGGAUUAGAUACCCUGGUAGUCCACACUGUAAACGAUGAAUGCUAGGUGUAGGGGGUAUCGACCCCUUCUGUGCCGCAGUAAACACAAUAAGCAUUCCGCCUGGGGAGUACGGCCUCAAGGUUGAAACUCAAAGGAAUUGGCGGGU
rnacentral:rRNA from 1 species